rfam:Oryza meridionalis cultivar OR44 (W2112) chromosome 2, whole genome shotgun sequence.
UUUAAGUGCAGUUGUAGUUUUUCAUCUUCAACGUUUGACCGUCCGUCUUAUUUGAAAAAUUUAUGUGAUUAGUAUUUUUAUCGUUGUUAGAUGAUAAAGCAUACAUAGUACUUUAUGUGCAACUUAUUUAUUUUAAUUUUUAAAUAAGACGGACGGCAAAAUUUGAACAUAGAAAACGACAGCUACACUUAAA